UCUGUGGAUCAGUGGCGAACGGGUGAGUAACACGUGAGCAAUCUGCCCCUGACUCUGGGAUAAGCGCUGGAAACGGCGUCUAAUACCGGAUACGAGCUGCGAAGGCAUCUUCAGCAGCUGGAAAGAAUUUCGGUCAGGGAUGAGCUCGCGGCCUAUCAGCUUGUUGGUGAGGUAACGGCUCACCAAGGCGUCGACGGGUAGCCGGCCUGAGAGGGUGACCGGCCACACUGGGACUGAGACACGGCCCAGACUCCUACGGGAGGCAGCAGUGGGGAAUAUUGCACAAUGGGCGAAAGCCUGAUGCAGCAACGCCGCGUGAGGGACGACGGCCUUCGGGUUGUAAACCUCUUUUAGCAGGAAAGAAGCGAAAGUGACGGUACCUGCAGAAAAAGCGCCGGCUAACUACGUGCCAGCAGCCGCGGUAAUACGUAGGGCGCAAGCGUUAUCCGGAAUUAUUGGGCGUAAAGAGCUCGUAGGCGGUCUGUCGCGUCUGCUGUGAAAACCCGAGGCUCAACCUCGGGCCUGCAGUGGGUACGGGCAGACUAGAGUGCGGUAGGGGAGAUUGGAAUUCCUGGUGUAGCGGUGGAAUGCGCAGAUAU
rnacentral:rRNA from 1 species